CGUUUAGAGACGACGACGUUGAUAGGCCGGGUGUGUAAGCGCAGCGAUGCGUUGAGACUAACCGGUACUAAUGAACCGUGAGGCUUAACCUUAC
rnacentral:rRNA from 1 species